rnacentral:rRNA from 1 species
UACAGAGGGUGCAAGCGUUAAUCGGAAUUACUGGGCGUAAAGCGCGCGUAGGUGGUUUGUUAAGUUGGAUGUGAAAGCCCCGGGCUCAACCUGGGAACUGCAUUCAAAACUGACAAGCUAGAGUAUGGUAGAGGGUGGUGGAAUUUCCUGUGUAGCGGUGAAAUGCGUAGAUAUAUGAAGGAACACCAGUGGCGAAGGCGACCACCUGGACUGAUACUGACACUGAGGUGCGAAAGCGUGGGGAGCAAACAGG